rnacentral:rRNA from 1 species
AGAAUUUUUCUCAAUGGGGGAAACCCUGAAGGAGCGACGCCGCGUGGAGGAUGAAGGUCUUCGGAUUGUAAACUCCUGUCAUUGGUGAACAAGGUCCCGCGGAGUAACUGCCGAGGGGAUUGAUAGUAGCCGAAGCGGACGAGACGGCUAACUCUGUGCCGGCAGCCGCGGUAAUACAGAGGUCUCAAGCGUUGUUCGGAUUCCUUGGGCGUAAAGGGUGCGUAGGUGGCGAGGUAAGUCUGGUGUGAAAUCCCGGGGCUCAACCCUGGAACUGCACUGGAUACUGCCCUGCUAGAGGACUGGAGAGGAGACUGGAAUUUACGGUGUAGCAGUGAAAUGCGUAGAUAUCGUAAGGAAGACCAGUGGCGAAGGCGAGUCUCUGGACAGUUACUGACACUGAGGCACGAAGGCCAGGGGAGCAA